rnacentral:tRNA from 1 species
GGGGUUGUGGCUCAGAGGUAGAGCACUCACCUAGCCUGUGUGAUGCCCUGGGUUCGAUCCUCAGCACCACA